GCCCCUGUGGUGUAGCACGGUCAAUCAUUUCACCCUUUCGAGGUGAAGACCCGGGUUCAAAUCCCGGCGGGGGCA
rnacentral:tRNA from 1 species